UUCCCUCACUUAUGCUUUCGGGGGCCUAAAGCACUCCCGAAGUGCAUGCAUGUUCGGCUGGCGAACUUGAGGUUCGGCGGCCGAACCUGGGUCUUCCUCCAAGAUUAUUUUUCAUGCAAAAACUCAUUUCUUACUUGGUUAAAAUCAUAAAACACUUUAAAACAUUUUAUGAAAACAUGAUUUUACCCUUCUAGAGGUCUCCGACACCCGAGAUUCCACCGGACGGUAGGAAUUCCGAUACCGGAG
rnacentral:lncRNA from 1 species